rnacentral:rRNA from 1 species
GAGACUCUGUGCGCGUGCAUAUCAAUAAGCGGAGGAAAAGAAACUAACAAGGAUUCCCUUAGUAACGGCGAGUGAAGCGGGAAGAGCUCAAAUCUGAAAUCUUCAAGGUUCUACCUUGACGAAUUGUAGUUUAAAGAAGUGUUUUCUGUUAGAUGAGUAGCAAAAGUUCUCUGGAAUAGGGACAUCAUAGAGGGUGAGAAUCCCGUAUUUGGUCAUUCCUUCUAGCUUUGUGAUACACUUUCAAAGAGUCGGAUUGUUUGGGAAUGCAGUCCAAAAUGGGUGGUAAAUUUCAUCUAAAGCUAAAUAUUGGCGAGAGACCGAUAGCGAACAAGUACCGUGAGGGAAAGAUGAAAAGAACUUUGAAAAGAGAGUUAAACAGUACGUGAAAUUGUCAAAAGGGAAGCGUUUGACACCAGUGUUGUUUUUCCGAAAAUCAAUUACGAAUGGCUUGAUUUUGUGUUGUAUUGACCUUAUCAGCUUUCUUCACUUUUUUCGAGUCUUUCUUAAUGCACUUUUCGGUUAACAAGUCAACAUCAAUUUCUUUUGUUGUAAAAGAGUAUUCGGAAGGUGGCUUUCUUUUCGGAGAAAGUGUUUAUAGCCCUAUACUUCUACAAUCGGAGAGAUUGAGGUCUGCAGCGUAGAUCCUUCGGGGUUAGAUACACUUGUGCUAAGUUGUAGCUUUUCAUAGACAACUUGUUGACUAUGUUUAGUCAUUGGGACUUACUCGCUUAGUGCUAUUUUACCUACGCUUAGGAUGUUGACUGAUAUGUAGUCGUA